AUUGAACGCUGGCGGCAUGCUUUACACAUGCAAGUCGAACGGUAACAGGCCGCAAGGUGCUGACGAGUGGCGAACGGGUGAGUAAUGCAUCGGAACGUGCCCAGUCGUGGGGGAUAACUACUCGAAAGAGUAGCUAAUACCGCAUACGAUCUAUGGAUGAAAGCGGGGGACCGUAAGGCCUCGCGCGAUUGGAGCGGCCGAUGUCAGAUUAGGUAGUUGGUGGGGUAAAGGCUUACCAAGCCAACGAUCUGUAGCUGGUCUGAGAGGACAACCAGCCACACUGGGACUGAGACACGGCCCAGACUCCUACGGGAGGCAGCAGUGGGGAAUUUUGGACAAUGGGCGCAAGCCUGAUCCAGCAAUGCCGCGUGCAGGAAGAAGGCCUUCGGGUUGUAAACUGCUUUUGUACGGAACGAAACGGCUCUGGUUAAUACCCGGGGCUAAUGACGGUACCGUAAGAAUAAGCACCGGCUAACUACGUG
rnacentral:rRNA from 1 species